GAAAUUCUUGGUGAAAAAUGUUGCUUCUCAACUCUAAUUGUAAGUCUCGCGGAUGCUUUUGAGAUACGGCCACAGAAUCUCAGUACAGUACAUAGGAAAUGACUCAUAGAGGAGUUAAACCCAACGCGUGGGUGUGGGCCAUAGUGGGCGCUAUUAAAACAAGACUGAAAGUUUGGGGUGGGUCAUUCACACGCGCUGCUUUUGCUAUGCUUGAACCCCAUUUGUGGCUUUUAAUCUUUUGAAAUCGCUGUGGGAUUUCAAUAUAUAUAAAGCUAAAUGGAUUCUGGUGCUAUGUUGCGUUGCCUCUAUUGGAUUACUCUAUUGAUCGCCACUCUUAUUCAUGGAACAAACGCAGAUAAAAGUUCAGCCCUUUGUUUGAAAUCCGAAUUCUGGAACAGAGAUGUCGCACAAUGUGUACCUUGUCAAAUAUGCAAACAGUAUCCGAAAACUCCAUCAUGUGACACAUGCCCACCCAUAGAGCCUUCAGAUUCCUGGAGGGUGGCAGCAAUUACCAGUUUAUCUGUCCUGGCAGCUGUAAUUGUUUGCGGAGCCUUGCUCAUAGGCAUUCUAGUGCAUCAAUUCAGGUCCAAGAGGACUUUACGUGAACCGAUUGAAGAGACAACAGGACCCCUUUAUCAAGUAUAGGAUCUUCAUAAGGUAAGGGUUGAAAACUGCAACUCUUCUUAAGAUGCUUCGAAAUGCAUUAAGGAAAUUAGUUUUGUUCACAUGCAAUCUUUUAAAUGUUUGCAGCUCAUGGAUCUCAAGCUGACGAAAAUGAAAAUGGACUUGUUACUCCAGUGAAUUAAUGCUCCAGUUGGUAAACGCUGGCUGGUACCUCAACCACAGAGUGUUCUACGAGUAGCAUCUGAUUUGUCUAACUUAUUACAUUAGUAGGCUAUGUCAUGCAUAGCAAAUGGUUAUGCACAAAAGCUGCACUGAGACCUUCCUUGUCACUCACUGUGCAGAAUAGGUUUGCAAGCCUUGGUGCUAAGUGACAUCCUAUGGACAGCAUGAUAGCACUGUUUUUGCAGAAAUUUGAGGCCAUUCAUGUUGCACUUAGUGCACUGUAGAUGCAUUCCCACUUGGAAUAUUCCUUGUUAGAUUUGUGAACACGAUAAACAAAUAACCACAAACCGUUUAAUAUAGUAGACUUAGAGAUCAACUUUUUUUACACAAAUAUGCCUCCCUAAACAGAUUUAGUAUGGCACAGCCAUUUGAAUGUAUUUGUAAUCAUUGUUUGUACAGUUUAAUUAUCUAUUUUUAUAGUGUUGGAAUACUACGCACUGUAUAGAUGUAGCCCUUUGUACAACAAUGUUCGGACACCGACUGGCUCAGCAGCCUGUCUAUGGCAUUGAUGAACGUUCUGGAGACACUGAAGACCAGCGAAGCAACAGAAGGCGAUAUCCUGAAAGACAAGAGUCGCCAGCUGACAUUAACAAACUCUUUGAGAAAGAGUCGCGGGUGUCAGAUUCCAUCUGAUUUUUGCUGCCUGUAUACGCAAAAGAGAUUAGAUAGUUUAGAGUGAUAUUUACAUGUAAGUAGUGAUAUUUACAUACAUGCAAUACAUUUAAUCUCCCGUGUUUUAUCAUUUCAGCUUACUAAAAUGUUUUGAAAGGAUAAAAUCACCAGUUUUAGAUGUGUGUAGCCAGCUGUGGGCAUUAGGGAAUGUAUAUAUUUAUAUACAGCAGAUGUGAAGGAGUAAUCAACUUGUUUGAAUGACUUAAAGCAUGUUUAACAAGAGGUUAAUAUCAUGAAACCUGUGAAGAACAUGUUUGAGUAACAUUUCAACCCAGAAUCAAAAGUGCUUAAAGAAUUUGUUGCAUUGUUUUCAAGAAAACUAAGCACACUUUAUACCCCAGUUCCCAAGAAUACUUUAUGUACCUCAUUGUGAAUCACUGCCAUGUUUGUCAGAAAUCUAGGAACAUCAAGAAGCUAGUCCAGAAUCUUUAUCGAUAAACAUAAACCUGUGAAGCAUGCACGGCGCUGUCAGUCUUAAAAAAAGUUGGUUGUGUAUUUGUGCCUUUACUCAUUCACAAUUACUCCACAGAAUGCAGAGGAAACUAUGCAUUUGAAUACAAUAAAGAGACAACUAAUGUACUGUAUUUGUCUGUUCAUGUUUUUUUGUUUCCUUAAUGUGUUUUUUGA
rnacentral:lncRNA from 1 species